UUUAUUUGUUUUUCUUUUCAUUACUCCAUGAGGAAGCUCGCAAUCAGAAGGCAUACGACAGAAACACACGAUUACAUGAUGGUGGAGGUGCCAUUGGAGGCAGUGGUGGAUCUCAGGAUCAAGUUCCAGCCUACAAAUUGCCAUGGAGUCCGAGUACCGACCUAUGAGGUGUGGUUUUAAUAGAAGGAAGAAAAAUACAUACAAAGAA
rnacentral:lncRNA from 1 species